CUUCCUUCGGGCAGGCAGCAGCUGCUGGUAAAGAAUCACUUUCUUCUCUCCAUGGCUAUUCCUAGUGGCUAUUUAAAACGCCAGUGACUUCAAGCCCUUCAAGCAUUGCCUCUUAAUCAAAUAAGGAACGACUUGAGGGUAAAUGAUGACAGAAUUGUAAUUUUUAGGUGAAGAUUUCCCAAAGGACCACUCCAAAGCUCCAAAUAUCACUCUCUGUGGUGAACUUCCUGUACAUGAUGCUUUCUGGCGGCAUCCAGCGAAUGGGCAGCAUCGUCCUCCCACCGACCUGAUGACGUGAAUGAGAA